GGUUCCUUAGCACAGUGGUAGUGCAUUGUACUUAUGUGGAUAAUCUAACUCUUUAUGCAAGGGUCCCGAGUUCAAUCCUCGGAGGAACCA